rnacentral:rRNA from 1 species
CCUACGGGUGGCAGCAGUGAGGAAUAUUGGUCAAUGGGCGUAAGCCUGAACCAGCCAAGUCGCGUGAGGGAUGAAGGUUCUAUGGAUUGUAAACCUCUUUUAUAUGGGAAUAAAAUGGGGGACGUGUCCUGUUUUGUAUGUACCUUAUGAAUAAGGAUCGGCUAACUCCGUGCCAGCAGCCGCGGUAAUACGGAGGAUCCGAGCGUUAUCCGGAUUUAUUGGGUUUAAAGGGUGCGUAGGUGGCCUUUUAAGUCAGCUGUGAAAGUUUGUGGCUCAACCAUAAAAUUGCCGUUGAAACUGGGAGUCUUGAGUAUAGUAGAGGCGGGCGGAAUGCGUGGUGUAGCGGUGAAAUGCUUAGAUAUCACGCAGAACCCCGAUUGCGAAGGCAGCUCAC